rnacentral:rRNA from 1 species
GCGUGGAGCAUGUGGCUUAAUUUGACUCAACGCGGGAAAUCUUACCGGGUCCGGACACACUGAGGAUUGACAGGCAAUAUAUGUGACUCUUCGGAGUUUGCAUUGUUAAAUAUGCUAGUCCUUUCAUGAUUAUGUGAUAGGUGGUGCAUGGCCGUUCUUAGUUCGUGGAGUGAUCUGUCUGCUUAAUUGCGUUUCAAAUUACUUAUAAGGUAGCAAUACGCGAUGAAGCUUUCAAUAGUCCUCACGGAUUCACUUGAGUCUCUCGCUUCGCUAUCCUUUCGAAUGCAACGAACGUGACCGCAACCUCUUGUUGCCUUCGUUUAACAUCCUGCAGCUCGCUGUGGGUACUGAGGGCUUCACUCGGUGACUUUGGGCUGAGCAAUCGGUCUCUUUUGAUCUGAGUAAACUAGAGGGACCGCUGUCAACUUCUUAAACCAGAGGAAGGUUGCGGCAAUAACAGGUCUGUGA